GAUGAACGCUCGCGGCAGGCCUAACACAUGCAAGUCGAGGGAGGAGCCUUCGGGCUUCGACCGGCGUACGGGUGCGUAACGCGUAUACAAUCUGCCUUUCACAUAGGGAUAGCCCGAAGAAAUUUGGAUUAAUACCUAAUGGUAUAUAGAUGUGGCAUCACCUUUAUAUUAAAGCUGAGGCGGUGAAAGAUGAGUAUGCGUUCUAUUAGCUAGUUGGAGAGGUAACGGCUCCCCAAGGCGACGAUAGAUAGGGGUUCUGAGAGGGAUAUCCCCCACACUGGUACUGAGAUACGGACCAGACUCCUACGGGAGGCAGCAGUGAGGAAUAUUGGACAAUGGUCGGAAGACUGAUCCAGCCAUGCCGCGUGCAGGAAGACGGCCUUAUGGGUUGUAAACUGCUUUUGCAGGGGAAGAAUAAGGACUACGCGUAGUUUGAUGACGGUACUCUGCGAAUAAGCAUCGGCUAACUCCGUG
rnacentral:rRNA from 1 species